rnacentral:rRNA from 1 species
AACGAACGCUGGCGGCAUGCCUAACACAUGCAAGUCGAACGAGACCUUCGGGUCUAGUGGCGCACGGGUGCGUAACGCGUGGGAACCUGCCCUUAAGUUCGGAAUAACUCCCCGAAAGGGGUGCUAAUACCGGAUAAUGUCUUCGGACCAAAGAUUUAUCGCCUUUGGAUGGGCCCGCGUUGGAUUAGCUAGUUGGUAGGGUAAAAGCCUACCAAGGCGACGAUCCAUAGCUGGUCUGAGAGGAUGAUCAGCCACACUGGGACUGAGACACGGCCCAGACUCCUACGGGAGGCAGCAGUGGGGAAUAUUGAACAAUGGGCGAAAGCCUGAUCCAGCAAUGCCGCGGGAGUGAUGAAGGCCUUAGGGUUGUAAAGCUCUUUUACCCGGGAUGAUAAUGACAGUACCGGGAGAAUAAGCUCCGGCUAACUCCGU